AUCUACGGCCAUGCCACCUUGAACAAGCCUGAUCCCAUCUGAUCUCGGAAACUAGGAAAGGUCAGGCCUGGUUAGUACUUGGAUGGGAGACCACAUAGGAAGACCAGGUGCUGUAGGUA
rnacentral:rRNA from 1 species